rnacentral:lncRNA from 1 species
CUCUCCUCGACAAGUCUACCAAUUUUUGCUUAAUAUGUGAAUCCUUUUCAGAAUCGGCGCGGGUUUUACACCGAUUAUAAAAUUUCUGCCGAUACUUGCCCCACUCCUCUCUGAAAAUCAAGUAUUUCUUCCAAUCUCUAGACUUAGGUUUCUCGUUCAGGAAAACGUCGAUGAUCUUAUCAAUAAAUUGGGUUAUCGUGUACCCCUCUGCAACUUCAACUUCAACGUCAGCUUCAACCUCAACCUCCGUUCCAGAUGCAGUAGCGCAAAACUGCCACGCAUCUGCAUCAAAGAGCAAUCACUCAAAUUUCGGAACUAACAACUGAGAACAAUGGGUGAACAAAAAAAGUACAGAAUACCUUCGGUUCUUCUCGAUUUUGCAGCUGUAAAGCUUUGAAAAUUUUGAGAAAUUGGUAACUGAAGUGGUAAUUUUGCAGAAUGUGGAGAUAUUUCUGGAUGGAUUAGAGAGAGAGUGGAGCUGAAGAGCGAGAGUUUACAGGCCAUAGUAGCGCUCUGUUUCAGUUCUUGACAUCUAAGGAACUGCAAUAUUGUUGGGGAUAAGAAUUAAGAAGCGCCUAUCAAACGACGUCGCAUAGCUCGUUUGCUGAUAAACUGUCAGAAGUCAUUCGGAUUACGGAUCGGAUUUUUGCCUGAUCCGAUCCGAUCCGAAAAUCCGAAGUUUGAAGAAAAUAAAAUCCAAUCCGAACCAUAUAAUCCGUUGAUCCGAAUCCGAAAAUCCGAAGUUUUCGGAUAAAAUCCGAUCCAAACCGAAAAAAUCCGAAAUAUAAGCAAAAUUCGAAAAUCCGAAAAUCCAAAAUGACAAAAGAAAUCCGAACUGAAGAAUCUAUGCUGAAAAAUUCGAACACAAUUCAUAAGGCUGCACCAAUUCAUUCGAACAAAAUUGAAACAGCUGCACCAAUUCAUAAGGCUGAAAAAUUCGAAUACAUCAACAAAAUUCGAACACAAUCCUAACUCAUAAGUCAUAAGUCAUAAUUAAGCAUCAAUUUUCAACAUUCUUGACGUUCACUAAAAACUAAAAUCGAACCUACCUGCAGCCUGAAGGAAUGACGCGCCGAUGAGGUGCUCUGGGGAAGGCGUCUGAAACUCUGAGGUCAGAGGUAGAGGGCGUCGGCCGUCGGGAAGAGAGGCGCAGAUCUGCGGCGCUCUGCGCUCGAGCUUCGAGCUGCUCUGGGGGAUUGCAAGCGCGGAGGUGGCGUGGUGGGGGAUUGAAGGCGCAGAGUAGGUGGGGUGGCGGCCGGCGGGGUGGGACGGCGCGGACCGCGCGGCGGCGCGGUGGUGGAGACUGGAGAGCGAUGGGAGUCAGACAAGGCGCGGUGGUGGAGUGGAGCAGUGGCUGUGUGUGCGGCGCUGAUUUAGUUAGGAAAUUAGGGGUUUAGGUUUUACUUUUUAACAUAUUCAAUAAUUCAAAAUUUAUAUAUAUAUAUAUAAAUUAACAUAUUCAAUAUAUAUAUAUAUAUAUAUAUAUAUAUAUAUAUAAUAAUAUAUAUAUAUUAAGGGGGGUGUAUUCCUUGUGGAUUUCCACAUACUUUAAAAAAUCCAUGAAAUUUAAAUUCCAUGGAAUUCACAUAGAUUCCAGACGACUUUCAAAGAAUUCGUGGUUGAAUUUCACCCCGAUUUUCACUGAUUUUCGAAGACUUUACAGGAUAAUUUUGGAAUUGAAUUCCAUGAAACCAGCGCCCGCUAGAAAAGACCCAGCGACCNAUCAAGUUAUUGUAUAAACACUUAAAUCGGAUACUCUUGACCGAUUACUCGCUCUUAUCUAUUUAUGUGUGUUUUUUUUCUCAUAUGAUGUCUCAAUCUUAGUUCAAUUCCUUUAUUAUUAUUUAUCACCCCUUUUCUGUCCCCUCUCCUAAUUUCCCUUCCCUAGUCACGGUUUCCCGGCUUACCUAUCCUUAGUUAAGACCGGUCGUGACAGGAUCGAAUCCCAUAACCCCCCAAAAUUCAAUGUUUAUUAACGCCCAUGUUCAACGAAGUGACUGUUACGAACGUUUAACGUUCGAAGGGAAUUACUGACAUGUUCAAUGUUCUUUGUUCUUUGAAUCUUUAGUGUUCCCCAUUGAACUCUCCCUAUAUAUAUAUAUAUAUAGGGAGAAAAUCCGUAGAGAACUGCAAAUUAAGUAGAGAACGGAGAAUAAAUAUAAAGUUACGAAUAAGUCUAUAAUUUCGAUGAAUAAAUCAAUGUAUCUUAUAGGGGGGAGAUUUUAUAUAUUUUUAUGUAUUUUUACUGAAUACACAUAUUCAUUAGUUAUGCGAUAUAUUCGUUAAAUUAAUAGAUUUAUUCAUUGUUCUCAUAUAUACAAGAAAAGGAGCUUAUAUAAGAAGAUGAGAAACAUUGAAUAUGUCAGUAAUGCGGUUGAACAUACCAAUAAUUUUAUUAAAUGUUUGGGAUUUUUGGGGUUCGAAAUCUGAAUACGUUCAACACAAUUACCGAUACGUUCAUCAAAAAUCUGGAUGUGAAAUUUAAUCUUAAUUAUUAACCGUUCGAUGGAUCAUGAUCAAUGGCUGAGAUUGUUUCUCCUUUCUUUGCAAAUAUUUAUUUUUCUAUUGAACUUCCUCCUAUAUAUAUAUAUAUAUAUAUAUGAUAUAUAUAUAUAUAUAGACCCCUAUUUUUAGCGAGAUCUUAGACACGAUUUCGUGCGUUUAUUUUAUCAAUUCUAGGGCUCCCAUAAGGACACCUAUGAAACACUUGUACGUACCACAUUCAUUAGAAUACACCAUUUCGUUGCCUAGAUACUUCAACCAAGUCAUGUAAAAUAGGUUCGCUUAAAAAAAAAUGUCUGUUGUACUUGAUAAGCUAUUGUUUAAAAGCAUUACCAUCUCGGUCUUCCAAGCUGUCAUAGGUUUCUGAGACCAAAGUGAGAUGACGAAAGAAACUGUCUGUAAAAUCCCCACGUCUCUUUGCUACAAUAGCAUUGAUAUCCAUGGGACUAUCUUGUAUCUCUUUUAACAGUGCAGUAUGCUUUUCCAUUUCUUCAUCAAUCUGCCAAGCUCAUGCCUAAUCAAUAUGUAGCUACAGCCUACAGAGAAAUUUUCAACUAAUAAUACACAUUCUAAUCUUCCAAACAUAUCUUAAGACAAUAAGUAGCACAUACGAAGUUAUGCCACAUCGUUCGUUUUCUACAUAAAUGUUACGUGAAUUCUACACUAUAUUCCAAAAUCACAAAGACCAACCAAUUUCUGGGAUAAGCACAAUUAGUUGAGUGAAAUCAAAGAUCAGCGAAGAAAUUAUUUUUUUGCGAAGUAGCAACGUUGAGGAAUCUAUGGAGAGAAAUAACUGAAUAAAAAUAAACAAGACAAUUACCUUUCUAACUCUCCUCGACAAGUCUACCAAUUUUUGCUUAAUAUGUGAAUCCUUUUCAGAAUCGGCGCGGGUUUUACACCGAUUAUAAAAUUUCUGCCGAUAAUUGCCCCACUCCUCUCUGAAAAUCAAGUAUUUCUUCCAAUCUCUAGACUUAGGUUUCUCGUUCAGGAAAACGUCGAUGACCUUAUCAAUAAAUUGGGUUAUCGUGUACCCCUCUGCAACUU